rnacentral:rRNA from 1 species
GACGAACGCUGGCGGCGUGCCUAAUACAUGCAAGUAGAACGCUGAAGGAGGAGCUUGCUUCUCUGGAUGAGUUGCGAACGGGUGAGUAACGCGUAGGUAACCUGCCUGGUAGUGGGGAUAACUAUUGGAAACGAUAGCUAAUACCGCAUAAUAGCAGUUGUUGCAUGAUAACUGUUUGAAAGGUGCAAUUGCACCGCUACCAGAUGGACCUGCGUUGUAUUAGCUAGUUGGUGGGGUAACGGCUCACCAAGGCGACGAUACAUAGCCGACCUGAGAGGGUGAUCGGCCACACUGGGACUGAGACACGGCCCAGACUCCUACGGGAGGCAGCAGUAGGGAAUCUUCGGCAAUGGACGGAAGUCUGACCGAGCAACGCCGCGUGAGUGAAGAAGGUUUUCGGAUCGUAAAGCUCUGUUGUAAGAGAAGAACGAGUGUGAGAGUGGAAAGUUCACACUGUGACGGUAUCUUACCAGAAAGGGACGGCUAACUACGUG